rnacentral:rRNA from 1 species
UGGGGAAUAUUGGACAAUGGGCGAAAGCCUGAUCCAGCAAUGCCGCGUGAGUGAUGAAGGCCCUAGGGUUGUAAAGCUCUUUUACCCGGGAUGAUAAUGACAGUACCGGGAGAAUAAGCCCCGGCUAACUCCGUGCCAGCAGCCGCGGUAAUACGGAGGGGGCUAGCGUUGUUCGGAAUUACUGGGCGUAAAGCGCACGUAGGCGGCUUUGUAAGUUAGAGGUGAAAGCCUGGAGCUCAACUUCAGAAUAGCCUUUAAGACUGCAUCGCUUGAAUCCAGGAGAGGUGAGUGGAAUUCCGAGUGUAGAGGUGAAAUUCGUAGAUAUUCGGAAGAACACCAGUGGCGAAGGCGGCUCACUGGACUGGUAUUGACGCUGAGGUGCGAAAGCGUGGGGAGCAAACA